UUUUUUUUUUUUUCUUUUGAGAUGAAGGUUCGCUGUUGUUGCCCAGGCCGGAGUGCAAUGGCACGAUUUCGGCUCACUGCAACCUCCGCCUCCCAGGUUCAAGUGAUUCUCCUGCCUUAGCUUCCCAGGUAGCUGGGAUUGCAGGCAUGCACCACCACGCCUCGCUAAUGUUUGUAAUUUUAGUAGAGAUGGGGUUUCGCCGUGUUGGUCAAGCUGGAACUCCUCACCUCAGGUGAUCCACCUGCCUCGGCCUCCCAAACUUCUGGGAUUUCAGGUGUGAGCCGCUGCACCCAGCCCCCUUUUCACUCAUUAGGUUUUCUGUUUUCCAGCCACACUUGCUUACUCUAGGGCAGACCACACUCGAGAGUUCUCAGGAGAGUUUGUGAGCACGAUACCCUUCUCUAACAAACCACUUGUAAGUUCCCUGAGUGACAACUAACUUGCUCUUUCUGAAUUACUGAACAUACUCCAGAAACAAAAUCCAGACAAUAGAGUUCAUUCUGCAGAAAUGUUCCAGUUGCUGCCAGUCGAGGUGGUGGCUACAGAGCAUUAGAGGCUAUACCUGGUGCAGAUGCACCUGACAGCAAACACUCAAAAUAUCCCGAGAAUGACGCUGUGGUCUAAGAAGGGUGUGUGUUCAGAGUCCCGAGUGAAGGAAUCUGGGGGUGGCCACCUGGGAGUUUCUCUUUCCAUCUGUGAAGGACCUCCGUACCCCUGGCCCAUUCCUUGGAACACAGGCUGAACAGGGGAUCAAGGCCCUUUGUUUUGGGUUAAAUGAAGGUUGCUAGGAGAGGGCGCUAAGGGAAAAUGCUGCAUAAACUGCUUACUUUUUACACACAGUAGAGUUUUCCUGUCCAGCCCGCCACUACUGGACUGUACUGUAUGUGUUUUCAGUAACCCCUAUGCCGCACUCACUGGCUCCAAGUCUAUUCUUCAACCUCUGGGACCCAGUGCCCUCCCUGUUGGAAUCAACAGGGGUCUGGCAAAACACUAGCACAUUAAUGGGGCAGAGAGCCAUAUGCUUUGAUUAGGAGGAGGAACCCCAGACUUUGCUUAUUCAGGUAACUACAGCUAGACUCACGCAAGGCAUCGAGGUGCAAAGAGUCCCUGGUCCGCUGCAGUCCCGGGCCUUUCCGUCCAGUGCAAACAACUCUCCUGCCCUGCCAUUCUGCCUCUCACGUCUGCUCAUUGGUAAAGCCAGAGGAAUCACACACACAGACAAGUUACCUAAGUUUAGUAAAGGCAAGUGAGAUUUCAUUCACACUCACAGCCUUUGGUUUAGCUUCCCAAACUCCUUCCUAAGUGGUGAGAAGAGAAAUUUGGUACACUUGGGUGUUCACCUCUUGACCCUCCCUGCUCAACCCUUCACUCUCCACCUCCUGCAUUGGGGGCUCACCCAGCCUCAGGUAUGAGGGUAACAGAUGGGUCUCCAGUGCACCUGCGCCAUGCUCAACCAAACUCUGGACUAUAAAAACUAGGUCCUUAUUCAUGUAGAGCUAGCUUCCUUCUGCAGAGGAAGAGAAUAUGAUUGUACUUGUCUAAUGGGUUCUUCCUAGCUGCUGCACAGAC
ensembl:lncRNA